rnacentral:rRNA from 1 species
GACGAACGCUGGCGGCGUGCUUAACACAUGCAAGUCGAGCGGUAAGGCCCUUCGGGGUACACGAGCGGCGAACGGGUGAGUAACACGUGGGUGAUCUGCCUCGCACUCUGGGAUAAGCCUGGGAAACUGGGUCUAAUACCGGAUAUGACCUUACAUCGCAUGGUGUUUGGUGGAAAGAUUUAUCGGUGCGAGAUGGGCCCGCGGCCUAUCAGCUUGUUGGUGGGGUAAUGGCCUACCAAGGCGACGACGGGUAGCCGGCCUGAGAGGGCGACCGGCCACACUGGGACUGAGACACGGCCCAGACUCCUACGGGAGGCAGCAGUGGGGAAUAUUGCACAAUGGGCGAAAGCCUGAUGCAGCGACGCCGCGUGAGGGAUGACGGCCUUCGGGUUGUAAACCUCUUUCGACAGGGACGAAGCGCAAGUGACGGUACCUGUAGAAGAAGCACCGGCCAACUACGGU